CCUAACACAUGCAAGUCGAACGGUAACAGGAAGAAGCUUGCUUCUUUGCUGACGAGUGGCGGACGGGUGAGUAAUGUCUGGGAAACUGCCUGAUGGAGGGGGAUAACUACUGGAAACGGUAGCUAAUACCGCAUAACGUCGCAAGACCAAAAAGGGGGACCUUCGGGCCUCUUGCCAUCGGAUGUGCCCAGAUGGGAUUAGCUAGUAGGUGGGGUAACGGCUCACCUAGGCGACGAUCCCUAGCUGGUCUGAGAGGAUGACCAGCCACACUGGAACUGAGACACGGUCCAGACUCCUACGGGAGGCAGCAGUGGGGAAUAUUGCACAAUGGGCGCAAGCCUGAUGCAGCCAUGCCGCGUGUAUGAAGAAGGCCUUCGGGUUGUAAAGUACUUUCAGCGGGGAGGAAGGGAGUAAAGUUAAUACCUUUGCUCAUUGACGUUACCCGCAGAAGAAGCACCGGCUAACUCCGUGCCAGCAGCCGCGGUAAUACGGAGGGUGCAAGCGUUAAUCGGAAUUACUGGGCGUAAAGCGCACGCAGGCGGUUUGUUAAGUCAGAUGUGAAAUCCCCGGGCUCAACCUGGGAACUGCAUCUGAUACUGGCAAGCUUGAGUCUCGUAGAGGGGGGUAGAAUUCCAGGUGUAGCGGUGAAAUGCGUAGAGAUCUGGAGGAAUACCGGUGGCGAAGGCGGCCCCCUGGACGAAGACUGACGCUCAGGUG
rnacentral:rRNA from 1 species